rnacentral:tRNA from 1 species
AGGAUUUUAGGUUAAAAUUUAAACCGUAGGUCUUCAAAACCUAUAAUAAUUUAUUAAAAAUUAAAUCUUA